rnacentral:lncRNA from 1 species
GCUCAUUUUAUUUUUUCUUUUGAGACAGGGUCUUACUAUGUUGCCCAGGCUGUCCUUGAACCUUCGAUCCUCCUGUCUCAGCUUCCUGAGUAGCUGGGAUUGCACGUGCACACCACUGAGCCUGGUUAGUAUAAUGUAUUAAUAUUCAGAUAACUAUAUUUUACUAUAAGUGGUUUUAGUUAUUACUGAAUAUCUUGUCUUUGAUGUAUUUAAUAUUAUUAUUUUGUGGGGUCCACAGUCCUCACCAGAAUGUCAAAGAGGUCCCUGGUUAAAACAAACACAAAAGCAAAAAUGACAAAGAAACCCGAUAUUAAUCAUUAGCCAACAGAUUUCUGGGUGUUUCUCCUAAGGGCCUCCCACUGCAAGCUCUUUCUCUGCUGUUUUUCAUUACUCUUUCCUAACUCAAUUUAUUAUUUCUCCCUUAGUUCAUGUCUUUCAUUUAAGGUUUUCCCAUGAUCCUGAUCUCCCCCCUGCCCUGCCCCUCCACACAGAGUGGGCAGUUCUGUAGGGUAGAGACAAGUGACUAGGCCAUCACGGUGCAGUCUGCUGUGUGCUACGGACACUUAGGGGACACUUGGAGAAAUGCCUAAUCCAGUCUUGAGAGAUGGGACAGACUUGUCAUCAGAGGUGACCCCAGGCUGUCCUGGAGGGCCAUGUAGACUUAACUAGGCUUGGUGGUAGGAAGGGGGGUGUGGCUACCAAGGACUGGUCAGAGCGCAACGGUGGCCAGACUGUGGAAUGCUCUUCAAACCAAAUUAGGAGUAGCCACCAAAGGGUUUUGAGAGCUGUGUUUUACAAAGAUUGCCCUGGCUCAGAGUAAAGAUGGGUUGGAGGGAGGAGGUCUAGAGAUGAGGGACGAGAGGCUGACAGACUGCCCUUUGCUCAUUCAUUAAAAAAAAAAAAGUGUAUAUAUAUAUAUAUAUAUAUAUAUAUAUAUAUAUAUAUAUAUCUGUGUGUGUGUGUGUGUGUGUAUAAUUUUUUUUGGUAUUGGAGAUUGAACUCAGGGGCACUUAACCACUGGGCCACAUGCUGGGCACUCUGUGUGUGUGCCUGUGUGUGUGUGUGUUUGUGUGUGUGUGUUUUGAUUUUAUUUCGAGACAGGGUCUCACUGAGAUGCCUAUGGCCUCAGUAAGUUGCUGAGGCUGGCUUUGAACUCAUGAUCCUCCUGCCUCAGCCUCUUGAGCUGCUAGGAUUAUAGGAGUGGGCCACCGUGCUGGGCUCCUUAGCUCAUUCUUGAGUGUAUCACACGUGUCCAUCCUGUGCUCAUGCUUUCCUGCUGCCUAAGAUGCCCUUCCAGCACAUCCAAUGCUCCUGGACAGCUGGGGUCCAUCUCCUGGGCUUCAUCCUCUCUCCUGAGUUGCCUGACUUCACCACUGUGUUCCUGGAGGAAAUUUAGAGUUUUUUUCCCUUAAUGACUCUGGUUCUUAUCUCAUCCUUGAGUUUCGUGAGGGCAGAGACUGGGCUUUACUCAUAUUUAUAUCCCUGACACCUAACAUGUUGCUGGGUCCCUAGUAAAUCCCUUGAAAGGAGCCAGGCUAAGGGAUGGAAAGUGCAAGAAGGCUCUAGAAUUUGUCCAAAAAUAUGUAGCAAAGACAAUCUGAGAAACCCCUUAGAGCUGUCCACAGAGCCAUUCGAUCUCAGGAUAAGAAGGUCAUCAGUGGCCUUUUUAUUUCUUUUUUAAACAUAAUUCCCCCUCCUUUCUCUUUCUCAUUCCUUCCUUCUUCUUUUCUUUCUUUCUUUCUUGGGGAAACCUUUGAUUUUCGUGGAGAAGACGAAUUUCCCUCCAGGAUGAAACAGAAGAGACUAAGAAAAGGGGCUGAAUCUCAGCCAAGGUAAGCUACAGAUGAGAGGCAGAGCCCCAGGAAACCUGGCCCCUGGUGGCUUGCCCUUGCCCAGGGCUGGCUUUCCUUGGGGUGGGCGGCGGGGGGAGGGGGGGCAAUGGCAGCUCCCUCCCAGCCUCCACCCCCAAGCUGGUCAACACCCUUGAGGGCCUCCAUCAUUGUUGGAGGAGGGGUGGAUGUGGUGGGCCCUCAUCUGGGUCUCAGGUUCUAGGUGACACAGAAGGACAAUGAGGCACGGACUGUAUACUAUAGCUGUUUCCCAGGGAUCUCCAGGCUCAAAAUGGAGGAAAAAAAAAAAGUGAAAGGUUUAGGCUCCUUAUGCAGGUGGUAGCCAGAGAGCAGAGAACCCUGGGAUAGAAAAGAAUGUCAUUAUACAGGUGGCAUGAUAGACUUGCUGUGACCUCAGGUGAGGGGAGAGGGGCUACUAGAGGGCUGGAAGGGAUGACUGUACAUACAAGGGACUCUUACUGUCUACCACGGAGACGGCGGGUCACUUACCAGAAUCAGCCCUCUUUGCCUUCCUUCAGGACCAGGAAUAAGUGGUGGUGGUGUGAGAGCGUCAGCCACCGAGGAGGCGAAUGGAACAAUCCUUCUUCUCAGGGUCCCCAAAGGAAAACUGAGAUAACUCCCAAUGGCAAACUAGGCAAGCCCAGUUCGUGUGGAACCAGCCCUCCGGUGAAGACUCCUUGUCUUCUUGCCUUAGCGACACUUUGCUGGGAAGGCUCAGGACUCACUGGUUGGGCACCUCAUAAAGCAAGUUGUUGAACUCUCUGGGUUAGAAAAACUGAGGGGCAUGAUGUUCAACGACGUAUGAAAAAGAAGGGGGUCCCAGUGGCUCAGGAGGCUGAGGCAGGAGGAUUGCAAGUUCAGAGCCAGCCCCAGCAAUUUAGCAAGGCCCUAAGCAACUUAGUGAGACCCUGUCUCUAAAUAAAAAUAAAAAGGCUGAAUAUGUAGCUCAGUGGUUAUGCACCUUGGGUCUAAUCCUUAUGUGGGUGUGCACACAUAAAAAGGGGGGUAAAAUUUAAGAAAACUUUGGGCUGAGAUUUUGGCUCUGUGGUAGAGCACUUGCCUAGCAUGUGUGAAGCACUGGGUUCGAUUCUCAGCACCUCAUAGAAAUAAAUAAAAUAAAGGUCCAUUGACAACUAAAACAUAUUAAAAAAAGAAAGAAAGAAAAGAAAACCUUGGCUUAGCUGGGUACAGUGGCGCACACCUGCAAUCUUAGCAACUUGGGAGGUUGAGGCAGGAGGAUUGCAAAUCUGAGGCCAGCCUCAGCAACUUAGCAAGACCCUGUCUCAAAAUAAAAAAUAAGAAGGGCUGGGGACAUUACUAGUGACACAGUGCCUGCCAAGCGAGUCAUCCUUUUUUGGAAUUAGACUGGAUACCGUUGCCCUCCUUUCCUGGACUUCAUGGAUUUUCAGAAGAUCCUUGCUUUUUAUCAGUAUAGCUCUUAAGAACCUGGCUUCGCAAAGCUCUGGCAUCUUCGGAAGGAGUGGGGCACAGUCUACCGUCAGUGUGUGAGUUAGCGGCGUCGGGGGGGGGGGGGG